CCUACGGGUGGCAGCAGUGAGGAAUAUUGGUCAAUGGGCGGAAGCCUGAACCAGCCAAGUAGCGUGCAGGAUGACGGCCCUACGGGUUGUAAACUGCUUUUAUACGGGAAUAACGCGCCUUACGUGUAGGGCUUUGCAUGUACCGUAUGAAUAAGGACCGGCUAAUUCCGUGCCAGCAGCCGCGGUAAUACGGAAGGUCCGGGCGUUAUCCGGAUUUAUUGGGUUUAAAGGGAGCGUAGGCCGCAUGUCAAGCGUGCUGUGAAAUGUUCGGGCUCAACCCGGGCCUUGCAGCGCGAACUGGCGUGCUUGAGUCUGCGGAGAGCAGACGGAAUUCGUCGUGUAGCGGUGAAAUGCUUAGAUAUGACGAAGAACCCCGAUUGCGAAGGCAGUGUGCUGCAGCGAAACUGACGCUGAUGCUCGAAAGUGCGGGUAUCGAACAGGAUUAGAUACCCUUGUAGUC
rnacentral:rRNA from 1 species